UCAAGGUUGAAACUCAAAGGNANCGAUGGGGGCCCGCACAAGCGGUGGAGCAUGUGGUNUAAUUCGAAGCAACGCGCAGAACCUUACCAGGACUUGACAUGGGGAGGCUGUAUUCAGAGAUGGAUAUUUCCCGCAAGGGACCUCCUGCACAGGUGCUGCAUGGCUGUCGUCAGCUCGUGUCGUGAGAUNUUGGGUUAAGUCCCGCAACGAGCGCAACCCUCGUCUUCAGUUGCCAUCAGGUUGGACUGGGCACUCCUGAAGAAACUGCCGGUGACAAGNCCGGAGGAAGGUGGGGAUGACGUACAAGUCCUCAUGGCCCUUAUGUCCUGGGCUACACACGUGCUACAAUGGUCGGUGAACAGUGCGGAAGCUAGGUCGCGAGGCCGUGCUGAUCUCUAAAAGCCGUCUCAGUUCAGAUUUGCAUCUCUGCAANCUCGAGUGCAUGAACGGUGGAACUCGUCUAGUAAUCGCUGGAUCAGCAUGC
rnacentral:rRNA from 1 species